UGGCUCAGGAUGAACGCUAGCGGCAGGCUUAACACAUGCAAGUCGAGGGGUAGAGUUCUUCGGAGCUUGAGACCGGCGCACGGGUGCGUAACGCGUAUGCAAUCUACCUUUUACAGAGGGAUAGCCCAGAGAAAUUUGGAUUAAUACCUCAUAGUAUAAUUGAAUGGCAUCAUUUGAUUAUUAAAGUCACAACGGUAAAAGAUGAGCAUGCGUCCCAUUAGCUAGUUGGUAAGGUAACGGCUUACCAAGGCUACGAUGGGUAGGGGUCCUGAGAGGGAGAUCCCCCACACUGGUACUGAGACACGGACCAGACUCCUACGGGAGGCAGCAGUGAGGAAUAUUGGACAAUGGGCGCAAGCCUGAUCCAGCCAUGCCGCGUGCAGGAUGACGGUCCUAUGGAUUGUAAACUGCUUUUGUACAGGAAGAAACACUGGUUCGUGAACCAGCUUGACGGUACUGUAAGAAUAAG
rnacentral:rRNA from 1 species